rnacentral:sRNA from 1 species
UAGUGUAAGUACUGGAGUUGAUGUUAA